AUUGAACGCUGGCGGCAUGCCUUACACAUGCAAGUCGAACGGUAACAGGUCUUCGGAUGCUGACGAGUGGCGAACGGGUGAGUAAUACAUCGGAACGUGCCUAGUAGUGGGGGAUAACUACUCGAAAGAGUGGCUAAUACCGCAUGAGAUCUACGGAUGAAAGCAGGGGAUCGCAAGACCUUGUGCUACUAGAGCGGCCGAUGGCAGAUUAGGUAGUUGGUGGGAUAAAAGCUUACCAAGCCGACGAUCUGUAGCUGUCUGAGAGGACGAUCAGCUACACUGGGAUUGAGACACGGCCCAGACUCCUACGGGAGGCAGCAGUGGGGAAUUUUGGACAAUGGGCGAAAGCCUGAUCCAGCAAUGCCGCGUGCAGGAUGAAGGCCUUCGGGUUGUAAACUGCUUUUGUACGGAACGAAAAGCCCCGGGUUAAUACCCUGGGGUCAUGACGGUACCGUAAGAAUAAGCACCGGCUAACUACGUGCCAGCCGCCGCCGUAA
rnacentral:rRNA from 1 species